GAAAUUGAAAUAUAAUUGAAAAAAGGUUUAUAAAAUGAUGAUGACAUGAAAUAGUCUUUUGUGAAAUAAUAUGAAGCUAUGAGAGUGGAAGAAAUUAAACAAUUUCUUUUUUUGACAAAAUUAACUUAUUAGAAUUUGAUUUAAUCGGUUAAUUAAAUUAAUUAAAAUUAAUUAUCGAAAUUAUUUAAUUAAUUUAAAUAAUUAAGUUAACUAAAAUUAAUUAAUAGAAAUUAAACUAAUUAAAAACUUAACUAAUUCAAAAGAGGAAAAGAGUGGGUAUUAACAUUGACUUGAUUGGUACAUGUGCUCGGAACCGGUUCGAGCGUAAUAACAAUGAUCGAUAUUGUUCGCAAAUUCGAAACUCGGUGAAAACAUUCCUUUGAUAUAUUAAAAUUUUAGCGGUGUAUCGACAUCAAAUUGUCGAAUCCCUGGAUAGAAAUUAAGGUCAUACAUGAAUGAUGCAAUUUAUCAUUUGCAUAAGUUGAAAGACUAUCCACAAAAUAAUGGUAUAUUAAAAAAAACUGCCGACAGGCCUAAAAAUCAUUCCCACAAGCCCAAAGUUUAGAUUGGCUUUUUUAAACAUAGAAAAUUGUCCAAUGUGUGGUGUUUAAAUUAGAGAAUGCAAAUGGAAAGGUUGUGACCCCAAUCCCACCUUCCCUUAACUUUACCGAAACGGAAAAGGAGCAACAACAACAAACAAUAUGUACUAUACCAAACAAGUUCAGCACACACACCUACAUAAUCCAGAAAAGCAUACCACAAACGUUCCUUGUAUCCAUUACAACACCUACCAAUACUACUUGCCAUGUUACAAAAAUAAUAACCGUCCCCUUAAUUUUUCAGAAGCGCAAGGACCAACACAAACACUAAAAACUGAAAUUCCAACACUCAAAAAUAACUAACUCAAAUGUGAACUCAAUAAUUUAUGAAUAGAAUCCACAACAACUUCCAUGAUGCACAACUAAUUUUAACUUGGCAAGAAACAAACUGUAAUUUUAAGGUUACCGAUAUAGCUCUGCAACCGGACUUGAGCAGUGAGCUUCCUGUGACCGGAAGAGUGUUGUCGGUGCGAAUCAAAAGGAAAAGCAACAACCUUCCUCCUCUUACUCUUCUUAGCUGCCUUAGAAUAAGGAUUAAUGCCCGAAAAAUCCACGAACAUUAAACCAGUGGCAUGACGCAAUAUGCAGCUUCCUGAAUCGAGUCCAUUGAAGAUGUUCCUUCCUACUUUCACCGUAUUUCCGAGUUGUUGUCAAGGUGAUGUUGUUAGAAAACUGAGUUUGAAAAGAUCCAUUGUUUGUUGACCAUUUGCUGGGUUAGGGUUUGUACGGUAACUGAGAGGUGAGUUGUGUGGGAGAGUUGACGAUGAGGAAUAGCGAUUAAGGGUAGCGUUUCGCGGUAGUUAGGGUUUAGGAUGGUGGAAGGGGGUUAACGGCGAGGCGAUGGUUUUUUGAGGUGGUGAGGAUUUGGAAGGCGGAUACGGUGAGGGUUUCGAUGAAGGUGCUGAAGGGUUUGACGGUGGUUUUGUGAUGGCGGCGGCGUGAACCGCGUGAGGAUGAAGGUGAAUCUGUGAGCGAGUUUGUGAAGAAGAUGGAAAGUAGGUGGAUGGGGUUUCACGCGGCGGUGGCGAUAUGAGUGGUGGCGGUGAAGGCAGAGGUUGAUGACAGGCUACGGUGGUUUGGUUGGCGGAAGCUAUGAAGAUUGAAGGGGAGAUGAGUGAAUAGUGAGGAUUUUUUUGAGUGAUUUGUGAGUGUGUUUUCUCUAUGGGAAUCCGAGUGAGAGAGGAUAAGGGUUAGGUGUGAGUGUGUUGAGAGGAAAGGUCAUGGACACGUGAGGUAUUUCGUGAGGAGAGAUUUCUGAGUGAGGGUUUAGCGUGUCCGAGAGAGAGCUGGAUUCUUUCCUCUUAUCCUUUUUUAUUUUUCUUUUUUUUUUCUUUUUUGUCCGUGAGAAAAAGAGAGAGAAUUAGUGGGAGGUUGUUGUGGAGAGAGACCGUUGGGAACAAUUGGUGGGCUCCCUUGCUAGCUGGUAAUUUCCUCAAAAGAAUCCAAUGCUACAAUUUAGCUUUAAUAUUAUUAAUGUGAAAAUCCUUAUUGUUAUUUAUUUCUGCUUAAAAAAUAUGAUUAUCAUAAAUAAAAUUUUUAAUUUAUUUAAUUCAAUAUUUUGAAUAAAGGAAUAAAGUGACCUGAUUAAAAAAAUGUAAAUUGGAUAUAAAUUUAUUCGAAAAAAUAAAUCGGACACACUAAAAUGACCAGCACACAAUAUACUUAUUGAAAAAUACAGUGUUUCUUCGAAAUUCUAAAAUAAAUUUGCAUCGAUUAAGAGGCUCAGGUGGAUCAACAUGCAACCGAAACAGCCACUGUUGAUUUUGCCUGUUCUUGAGAGAUGAUUCAACUGAUUGGUCUGUGUUUUCAAUAAAUUCAUUUUGACUGACAUUUUAGGUAUUUAUUCAUGAUGCAAAUACAUGUCAUGCUAUGCAUAUGAUGCAAAAAUAAAAAUGAAAACGAUUUUAUGAAAAUUUAAAUAUGCCCGGACAAAAUUGGGGUAUGACAGGUGGUUGUGGUGGUUGAUCCAUGAUAGGUAUGAACGGUGGUGGAUGUGUGGUAGAAGAACUUUCUCCUUGUUCUUGUCGUUGUCUAGCUUGUUGCCUCCUUCAUCUCGUUUUGCUAUUCAGUCUCCUGGCGGUUCUUUUGAUCUCGGGAUCAAAAAGAAGUUCGUCCACAGGAAUCCCCGGCAACGGCGCCAUUUUGUUGAGUGUAGUUUUAAGUGUCGGGUUUUUGUUAUCGUCUCCACAGGGAUUGUGAGAUAUCGCCGCCGUUUGACAGUUGUUUCAAUUCUUAACUCGUAGUAACAAGGGGGUUUUGGUUUUAGUCACAGUAUCUUGCAUAAAAGUGUAAUAAAAUGCGAUAAAAGUUUUGGUUUUUCUAUUUGAGAAAUAUUGUCAAAGUUAGGGUUCGACGAUCACUUUGCAUGUAUAUGUUCGAUCAACAAAACUUAUAAACUCCUUUAGAUGACAAACUAUUUCACAAAGUCCUUCCAAUUGUUUUAUCUCUAACACACAUUGUGGGUUUUCCCAUUUGAUCCAUUGUUUAUCUCUAACACAAUUUAUCAAAAUGACAACUUUUUGGUUCAACCUUAUGGUGAACAAAAUCACUCAUUACUAUCUCUAGCUAACAAACAAGAUUGGAUGAAAACCUAGGUAAAGAGUUGGUAAACAUCUCUUGAUCAUAAACCAACACAAAGAGUUUUCAAUAAAACAAACUUUUCACCAUAUAUUCAUCAUUAAAGAGUUUACAAAUGAAGAUCAUCCCAUUUACACACAAAGCUAAUGAUCAUCUACAUCUAACCUUGACAAAAUGAAGAACUUAGCCACUCAUUUUCCUGGUGGCUUGCACAACAAGUCUCGGUUGAAGGUUGAUCAACAUCCAAGUCGAAAAAUCGAGAUUGGAUGGGAAUCCACCUUCUUUUUGUAGAAUAAUGUUAAGAGAUGAAGAAAAAUGGGUUUCUAGGUUACAAAAUAUCUCUAGAGCAAUGCUGAAAAUAGCUCAAAAAAAGUACAAAGUAUGGAAGUGUAAAAGUAUGGCUCCAAAAAGUAGCCCCUGCUACUUAUAAUGCUGCUACUGAGCUGUCAUGCUCGCUAGGCGAGCAAAAUGGUUCGCCUAGCGAGCAAAAUGGUUCGCCUAGCGAGCCCCUAAAAUAGGCACCAGAGGCACCUGCGCCCAGAGAAAUAUCCUUUGCCAGAUUUGCAUGUUCGCUAAGCGAACAAAACCUUCGCUAGGCGAAACCCACACUUCAACCUUCGCUCCAGCGAGCUUAGGAGGUUUUGCUACUGGAAUUGCUCGCUGGGAGCUCGCUAAUGGCUCGCCUAGCGAGUGAGUGCUGGCUACGCUUUUGACCAAGUUUGGGCGUGUUCGCUACCACCUUCGUUGGCUGCUCGCCUAGCGAGUUUGUUGAUGUUUGCUACUGUAAAAUAAUGGAGAUGUUCGCUGGAUGCUCGCUGGGUGCUCGCCUAGCGAGCACUUCGCCACAACACUCGCCUAGCGAGCGUGGUGAUG
rnacentral:lncRNA from 1 species